rnacentral:rRNA from 1 species
AGAACGAACGCUGGCGGCAGGCCUAACACAUGCAAGUCGAACGCCCCCCUUCGGGGGGGAGUGGCGCACGGGUGAGUAACGCGUGGGAAUCUGCCCUUUGGUCUGGAAUAACCCUGGGAAACUAGGGCUAACACCGGAUAAGCCCGAGAGGGGGAAAGUUUACGCCGAAGGAGGAGCCCGCGUCCGAUUAGCUAGUUGGUGAGGUAAGAGCUCACCAAGGCUACGAUCGGUAGCUGGUCUGAGAGGACGAUCAGCCACACUGGGACUGAGACACGGCCCAGACUCCUACGGGAGGCAGCAGGUGGGGAAUAGUUGGACGAACGGGCGCAACGCCUGAUCCAGCCAUCGCCGCGUGAGUGAUGAAGGCCGUUCGGGUUGUAAGCUUGUUUGGGCGGGUACGAUGAGUGACCGGUACCG